UAUGUCUACUAGGGGAGCCCUAAUUUAGGACUGAGAAAGAGUGGUUUAACUCUUGACCCUUUGAACCUGAUCUAGCUAAUUCUAGCGUAGGGAAGUAGUGGUGAGAUAUU
rnacentral:ncRNA from 1 species